rnacentral:lncRNA from 1 species
AAACAUUCAUCACUUCUGCUGGAGCAUAGCUCAUGGUACACAUUAGGAAAUUUCCAGUAGCUGCAAGAACAAUACAAACAGAAAUCAGUAAAGGUCUCUGUGUUACAAGUGCAUCUGAAGGACGCUCUGUGAGGCAACCCCCCAGGAGCUGCCAAAGCAGGUUUCUGUCAGAAGAUGAAAGUAAGCUUCUUCUCUGAAAAUGAACUGCUUUGUAGGAAAAAGGAAGCAAAAACAUUUUUCUUCCCAUCAGCUCAUUUCCUUCCUAAACUAACUCCAUCAUUUCCUAAGCCUACCUAGCACCUUUCUAUUUAAUAAGUUUAUCUGCAAAGUGCUUAAUUCUGCUGCUUCUCCAAUUCUCGGAGGUAGGCAAUCUAAGACUAUUUGCAAAUACCCUUUGAACUGAAGUGAUGAGAGACUGCAAUUAAUCAAAAGGUUGAAUCUAUAGAAAAGCCCUAUUAAAAUCUUGGGAACUGCUGAGGAGGUAAUGGCUAACUGUUCCCAAGGGGAUGAAAAAUAAUAAAGAAACAAAAACUAUUUAGGAAUCCUAUUAACAAAAUGUAUCAGACUGUAUAUGAAACUGUAUAAAAAGAUUUCAAAGCCAAAUGAGGCUUUGAGGAAAAAAAAAAACUUGGUAUUGUUUUGGUUUCUUUGUAUAAAUGCAUAGUCAGGCAUUCAUACUUCAACUGAAUGUGUGUCUUAUUUUCUGCCUGACCUCCAUCUCAUUCAGAAAGAUUGUCCCCAUAAAGUCAUUCUCCUGCCUUUCAGCAGGAUAGUUUUUAUCCUACUCUGUCAGUACCUUGAGAAAAGUACCCCUAAGGAAAUCAAUGAAAGAAAGGGCAACUGCUUGUAUUUUGGAGCACAGGGCUUAAAAUAUCUCCUCCGCCACUGUUUGCCAAUGCCACCAGCGAAGCAAGGAUAACAGCAGCUUCUUCCUGCCUUGUUCAGUGUGCAGGAUUGUUAUUUAGAAUUCAGUAUCUGCAGCAGCAGGGUGCUGACAUCCUCUGUCAUUUUCAGAUGUUGCAUGGAACAUAAGGAGCAGCCAGUGUGUUGGGGGAGGGCUAGGAGGGGGUGUGGUGUCAUGAGCCAUUGGGUUGGAGGGAGUCACGAAGAAACCUGUCCCAAGAAUGAGGAGCAACAAAGAGCUGGACAGAGGUACUAUUUCAACUCCUGCCUCCCACUUUUGAAAAGAGAGAAAGUAAGGAUUUAAGGACUUCCUAAACCACAUACGAGACAAAACAUACUGUGAAAAUGAAUCAUGUUUUCUUCUACCUCAUUAGACAAGGAGAUUUUCUUGGAAAGAAAUUCUUGAAAAUAUCAUUGCAGGAUAAUUGCUCUCAUGCACAGCUUUCUCUUUCAGUUGUCCAAAAUCCUGUGCAGGCUCUAUACCACUGUCUUGUUCAAAACUGUAUUUUCUUCUAACCUUAUUGUAACUUCUGCUUUUUACUUUCUAGGCUGUAACUGAAGUCUGAAAGCACUCAGCUGUUAUGGUGGGAUCUGUGUUAAACACACAAAAAAGAAAUCACUGCGAUCUCUCAAGACAGACUGAUUGAUAUCUUAGACUACCUGACAAAUAACACGUUGUCUCAAAGCAAGGCCUUUAAGAUCUUCUACUGAUAAUACUCAUGAUAAUUAAAGGCCAUGGCCACUGUGAUUAGCCUAGAUUCUUUCACACACAAAAAAAUAAAGCCAACUUCUACUGGCUUUUGGUCAGUUAGUACCUCAGUAAGCCAUAGUUCCAAAAGCCUUGUGUCAUGGUGGAAGCUGUCACCUCCCUCUGGGUGACAAUGAAGCACAGGCACAGUUCUACAUGACCUGAUUUGAUAUUACCAGGUGGUAACACACUAACAAAAUCCACAGGACAACUUGAUCUCACAGAUGCAUCUCUGCCUUGAUGGUAUAUAAAUUUAAAGUGAAGGGCAGCACUUCUUAAUUACUUACAUUGUUUAUUUUAAUGUAGCUUACAGCUUUCAUUUUUAAACCAGAAAUGGAAGGACAUAGUUUCUCUCAAGACAGCAGGUUUGUGUUUUUAAAAGAUUUUAAAUUAAUACAUGUAUUUACUCACUGUAGCAGAAAUGCUAAGUAAGUCACAGUCUGAACCAGUGACUGAGCACCCAGUGGGAAGGCAGGGCCAACACAGGGGAGCUCAGGUGCAUGCAAUGUACCUGAGUGAGCAGAAGGGGUGGAGCCAGGAUCCACCCCUUCCCAAACCUCAUUUAAGGGUUGGCAGUGGAGGUAGGGAUUUUUUGCUGGAGAUCCCUGCCUCCCAGAGGUCUUCUGAAGGUCUUCCUGAGAGAGUGGGCUCCAUUAUGUUCAGGAGCAGAAUGAAAAUGAAAUCAUCAUUAGUCGGAUUGAUUCGGUGUCUGAAUACACAUUGUACCAUGAGGAUCCUCUUACCCUGAGCCAAAGUCUGUCAAAGUCAAUUCCAACAGCUGAUGAGGCCCUUCAGGAUAGGUCAGUUUUUUCCUUGAAAUCCCAUCAUGGCAACUUCUGCAUUUGAUGAGUAUUACCAGCACAGAUAGACGCACCAUGGAGGGAAUCCCAGCCACACAGAAAAAAUAAAUAAUCAACUAAGACUAUUAUUGACCUGAAAACUGCCUGUCAUUCUGCUACUACAUAAUAGUCACAGAAUACACAUUUCAAAGCCACGGUUUAACAGAAAUACUUAAAACCUGACAACUUAUGAUGAUUCAACAAGAUGAGAAAAAGACAAGGGCUCAAUCUCCAAACCCUGAUCAGUGGGUGAGCAUUUCAUAAGCCUGAGCAAACAGGAGAGAUCAUUGCGAAGAAGUGCUUGAGUUGAUUUGCAUUGCUCUCAAUUAGGGAAGGUAGUCCAGCCAACCACUACUCCAGCAUUACUGACAAGGACAACAAUUUGAUUUCUAGAAGCACUACCUGACUGAAAGAUUCUGUGAUUAGGAACUGCCACUCCUUUUGGACACAAAAGGGGAAUCUUCACCUUGAAGUUCUGGGAUGCAGGUGGACUUGCUAGAUUCUUUCAGGGUCCAGUUCACUACAGUGUCAUCACUGACUUGCUGAGCAUCACCCAGGUCCUUGAAGACAUUCAGCAUGUACCUGAACAGUGGCAGAGAAAACAAGAUUUGGCUCAGAUCCUGGGCUAAGACCCAGCAAGCACACAGCCUGGAGGGAACAUGAACUCAUAGCAACACGCAAAGUCUUCAUGUAGUCUCAGCUCUGCUUUUUUUUUUUUUUUUUAAUUAUUUUAUUUUUCACCCCUUCAGCAAAAAGGAAGAGCCAUCUAUUGUAUCUGUAGUGCAAUUUCUGUUAAAUCAUUUAACCUCUAAUUCCUCUCACUUCGUUUCAUAUUCAGACAUUACUAGUGGACUGGAAAUUAUUCAGCCUGUAAAUACCAAGUUAAAAUAGAAAGAAUAACACUGCUUCUCCCUUGUUUGAGGGGAUUGCACUGGUUGUGCAAAUGCAGGGUGUGGAAAACACUGCCUAGUGGAUGAACUAGGGAGUAUUCUAGGUUACAUGACACUUAUUACUUUGCACAAGAAACUGGUAUUAGGCAGAGAGAAUGGCGUUGAAUCCUCUUGUUGAAGGAAAUAUUGGAUGACUUUAGCUUUGAAGAGCUUUCUUCCCUUGGCUGUAAGUGAGCGAACUAGAAAAAGCCACAGUAAAUCUUUCUAUUGCUGGGGAACAAAUGAGAAACUGUACUACAGAGAGUAUGGAAAAAGAAAAGCAAGCCCUUAUGACCUUAAGAACAUAAUAAAGAUGGUCAGGCCAGAGGAAGUCUGGGCAAAAACAAGGGACUGUGGAAGUUGCCUGUCAUGAUGACUAGUGGGAAGUAGAACAUGCACGAAGAAAAUGAGACAAUAGCUGGAAAUAUGUAGACACUGCUAAGACUAACCUUGAGCCACAUCCUUAUUUAGGGACUAACAACAAUUGAUGUUUAAUAUUCUAGUCCAAUGGCAAUGUUUUCCCUUAUCUUAGAGAAUCUGUUAUUCAUUUGUUUGAAUGCAUGUAAGCAUACAAACCUAAAGACAGGAUUGGGUUUAGCCUCGAGGCUUCUUCACAAGUAUAUGUUCUCAACAGACAGCAAAUGCUAAAGCUAGAAUUGUUUCAGAGUCUGCUUUGACACUUUCCACAUGACUCUUCUAGCAUGUUCCAGUCAUCAAACAACAUAUACAACCUUCAGUCAUCUUCUAAGUGACCUAUUUAGGAGCAAUUUCAGCAUGAAUAUAAAUUCAGUGAAAAUGUAAAUAUGCAUUCAACAGUUGCUGGAUGAAAUGGUGGGUGGUGAGAAGAAAGGGAGUUUCCAUCUGUCUAGCCUUACAGGGUGAGUGUAUUUUCACUUUGCAAGUGCUUUCUACUCAACAUAUAUGUGAUAUAUGAGAAGACCAAGAUGUGCUGUACUUGGGUAUAUGGAGAUAAAAAGAAACAUCCCUCAGUUGUAAGAUGUAUGUAGCUAUGAACUAAUACCUCUUUUUUGCUGUUUAAUGCGCUGUUAAAAACAACACUAGCUGCCUCCCUUACAUUCAGCCAAGAUCCUGUUGUGCUCAGAGCUCUCUGCUGACUUAAAUUUUGAGUUGCUCUGACUUAAUCUGAAUUUCACUAGAAGUAUAUUAGAAAAAGUGUUUUUGUCGUCUUUGAGUAUCUGGAGAAAUAUAACCCUAGCAAGAGUCGUCCUGGUAUCCAGAACAGUGUAACAGGAUGUGGUGUCUAACACGCAGGGCUGUACAUGAGCAUCAGCGCUCAAAAUCUUGCCAAGAAUUUAGUUUUCUAGAUGCCAGUCCAAUAUUAGCCAACACAAAACUUGACAGUGGAAAAGAGACAAGCAAAGCUGUUCAUUCAUUACAGAAUAGCUUAGGCCAGGUAAAGCUGGGAAAAAUAUAAAAUGUAAAAUAAUAAAAAAAUUGCAGUGGCAGGUGUGUCAAUUAGGAGCUAAUUAUCUUCUGUUAGUAAGUGAUAUACAGAUGUUCUGAGCCUUACAAAAAGAAACAGAAAUUCCAGAGGUGACAGCAUUUUGACUUUGUUGAAGAAUCUCUGUGUUGAAAAAUCUACUGUCUGUUGUAGUUAAGUCUAUUAGUUUCAUUUGUGGGCUUUUUUUUUUCUUUUUUUUUUUUUUUCCUUUUAUUCUUUUUUUUUUUCCUUUUUGGAGAGGAGGGCUAGGGAAGACAAUGAGAUAGUACUGUGUCAUCAUAGGAAAACAUAUGAGGUUGAACUCAUUUUGUGAACUACCUUCUAUUAUCCAGUUUUAAAUAACCCACUUUAUCCUUUGGGGUGGUGAAUAUCAUUUCCCAGAAAACAAAACAAGCUCACUAGUGGAUGUGGUCUGUCUAAAACUAAUCUUACUGAAGAAGAAAAAUGUAAGAAAUAAUACCCGUCAUCACCAGCAUCUAAGAUCACAUCAAGAAAUGCAAUUUUGGAGGAUCUUUUUGAUUGGAUGCUUUUGUUUUCCCUUUUUGAAUGCAUGUAUUUUCAUGCAGAGUCAGCAAAAACACCAGUACAGACUGAGGAACCAGGCAACUGGGAAUGAGCACUGUGGAUUUGGAGAGGACCUCCAGCCCUUUGAUGUUACAAAUGUCCAUGCCAAAACAAUUUUUGUAGUGAUAUUAAGCCCCUUGUGAACGCAGCUGUGUGGGGUUAUCUUCAUGGCUCUCCUGGAAAGCUAUUCUGGAACCUCAGUCCCAGAACUUAGACUUUGGAAUAUCCAAGUGGAACUCAUUUCUGAGUGGUUAGUGCCCAUUGUUUUGUUAUCUGUACAGACUAGUAGCUUUAACAGUGUUCUUCAUUUGCUGUAGUUACUAUUCAUCAAUGUUCACAAAGUAAAAUCCUAUCCCACUCUCGCCUCCUUUUUGUUCAGCAAAUAUGUUGUAUUCUUUUUUUUUCUCUUCGAUAGCCUGCAGGCAUGUAAAACAUUAGGCAAAAAUAUAGAAAAAGUACUGAGAAAGAAAAUCAACAACAGGUGUGUAAAAGUAGAGGUUUGGAAGCACUUACUGCAAAGGAAAUGAGAGGGGAAAAGAGGAAAGGAAAGGAAACAAAAAUACCUGUAACUUUGGACAGAGCAGUAUUAAGCAGUAUUGUACAGCUGACAAACUCAAGCAAAUCUACUGUGUAAGACUGCUCACCUUGAUUUCUUUGAUAACUAUACUGAAAAAUGAAGGCAUUAAAUGAUGUAUAAAUCAUUCUUCUUACCAUUGUUAGACAAAGGGUUG